CGGGGCGUAGCGCAGUUUGGCAGCGCACCUGCUUUGGGAGCAGGGGGUCGGAGGUUCAAAUCCUCUCGCCCCGACCU
rnacentral:tRNA from 2 species